GAUUUACAUGGAAGCAGAAUCUUG
rnacentral:piRNA from 1 species